CUGAGCAUGUCAAGAAGCCGGUCAGCAUCAGUGGAGCUAGAGUUACAUCUCAAGUCUUUCAUGAAAAAAACAUCUUGAUGCAAAUUAAUAAUUUAGUGCAUGUUUCUUAAAAUGUGGUUGCCUAAUAAUGCUUCCUUCAGUUAGUUAUUUUGUGAUGUAACUACAGGAAGAAUAAUACUUAAGGACGGGAGAAGCAUAUAUUGGGCACAAGCAUUUAGCUAAACAUUAUGCACAUCACCUUAAUUGGAUAACUGGGUAAUUCUCCUGUCAAUCAUGCUUAGUGACCUCCCUGCUGUAGGUGAUUCAGAUUGAUUAAAUGUACAGUUUUUUAAUGUAAAUAUGCAUUAACUGGCUUAAUUUCUUGAGAUAACAGUGAAAAACUGCUGUUAUUUAUAUCUUCCACUAUAAAAAAAGUUCUUUUUUCUGAAUAAAUUCAAAGUCAAAUAUUGAAGUACAUAUGUCACCAUAUACAACCCUGAGAUUCAUUUUCUUGUGGGCAUACACAGUAAAUCUAAGAAGCACAAUACUGUAGAGUUAAUGAAAGACUGCACCCCACAGGAGGAGCAAAUGACCAACGUGCAAAAGGUAACCAACUGUACAAAUACAAAAUAAAAAUAAUAGUAAUAAGUAAGCAAUAAAUAGAGAACAAGAGCUGAAGAGUCCUUGAAAGUGAGUCCAUCAGUUGAGGGAAAAUUUCAGUGAUGAGGUGAGUGAAGUUAUCCCCACUGGUUCAUGAGCCUGGUGGUUAAAGGGUAAUAUCUGUUCCUGAACCUAGUGGUGUGGGUUCUGAGACUACUGUACCACCUUGCUGAUGGCAGCAGUGAGAAGAGAGCAUGGCUGGCAUGGCUGGAUGGUGGCGGUCCAUGAUGAUGGAUGUUGCUUUCUUGCGACAGUGGUCCCUAAAGGUGUGCUCAAUGAUGGAGAGAGCUUCACCUGUGAUGGACCGGGCUGUAUCUUCUACUUACAAGGUAUUGGCGUUUUCAUAUCAGGCCAUGAUGCAACCAGUCAAUAAACUCUCCACCACACAUCUAUAGAGCUUCGUCAAAGUUUUAGAUGUCAUGCGGAAUUUUAGCAGACUUCUGAAGAAGUAGAGCCACUGCUGUUCUUUCUUUGUAAUGUUAUUUACCCGCAGGACCCAGGACAUAUCUCUGAAAUCUGCUGACCCUCUUCACCUUGAUAUGGACUGGCUCAUGGACCUCCAGUUUCUUCCUCCUGAGGUGCACCUUAAACUAAACAUCGGAAAGCAAAAAGUUUCCAUCAACAUGCCCGGAUGCACAAAUCCAUCCCCAAAACUGAAGGUCCAUGACGAAACACUGGAAAAGGUGAAGUACUUUCCAUAUUUCAGAAGCCCUCAUCAGCAAAUGCAGGUAUAAUUGAUGCGGUGCAAGCUGAGCGUUGUUCCCUCUAAAUUCUUC